UUCACGAAAAUGAAGAGACUAAGACUCCUACAACUUGAUCAUGUACAACUUAGUGGAGAUUAUGGAUGACUGAGUAUGAUGAGUAUGGCACACCUCUGGACCGUGAAACAUUUAUGAAAGAGCUUGAGAAUUUCUACAGACAGCGGUCCUUGGAAUUUAAGCCUCCUAUGUUUUACGGAGAGCCUCUAAAUUACCUUAAGUUGUGGAGAGCUGUUAUCAGAUUGGGUUGCUAUGAUGUGGUAUGGACUUGUCUUACAUGUUAUUUUUGACAGAUCAUCUCUUUGAAUAGUUCUAGGCCAUGGCUGUAAUUCUUGCAUUACUUUUCUUACUUCAAACUCAAGGUUGUUGUUAAUGCUAUUUCUAAUAGUUUCAUCCCGUUCAUAUCUUGCGUAGGAUAAAAGGGCCGUUUAAAUGAACCAAAUGUUUGCAUCACAUGGACUAACCCUAAUUGAUCUAGUUGCUCUAUCAGUAUAUGGCAUCUAGUGGUCCUAAUCCACCUCCUCCACUCUAGGCACAAUCUAAUAAGGAGAAGGGAAAAAGCAACGUGGUGAAGUUGUUAUCACGGUGAUGGAGUGCAACGACAAUGUCAAUCCAAGAUGAACAAAAUCCUUAGUGAUUAUUAGGAAAUUAUAGACUUGUCAUUCUAUGUUGUUUGACAUUUUAUGAAUUGUAGAAUUUAUAUUGUUUGACAUCUUAGGAACUGCACAAUCUAUUUAUGAAUAUUAGACAUUUUGUAAACU